rnacentral:rRNA from 1 species
AACGAACGCUGGCGGCAGGCUUAACACAUGCAAGUCGAGCGCCCUGCAAGGGGAGCGGCAGACGGGUGAGUAACGCGUGGGAACCUACCUGAAGGUACGGAACAACUCCGGGAAACUGGAGCUAAUACCGUAUGUGCCCGAGAGGGGAAAGAUUUAUCGCCUUCAGAUGGGCCCGCGUCAGAUUAGCUAGUUGGUGAGGUAAUGGCUCACCAAGGCGACGAUCUGUAGCUGGUCUGAGAGGAUGACCAGCCACACUGGGACUGAGACACGGCCCAGACUCCUACGGGAGGCAGCAGUGGGGAAUAUUGGACAAUGGGCGCAAGCCUGAUCCAGCCAUGCCGCGUGAGUGAUGACGGCCUUAGGGUUGUAAAGCUCUUUCGCUCGCGACGAUAAUGACGGUAGCGAGAGAAGAAGCCCCGGCUAACUUCGUGCCAGCCGCCGCAGUAAAAC